GACGAACGCUGGCGGCGUGCCUAACACAUGCAAGUCGAGCGGAGUCAGUAAGAAGAAGGUUUCGGAUGGAAUCUUAUUGAUUUAGCGGCGGACGGGUGAGUAACGCGUGAGCGACCAACCUUGCACAGGGGGAUAACGGACCGAAAGGUUCACUAAUGCAGCAUAAGACCGCGGUGGUGCAUGACACCGAGGUCAAAGGAGCAAUCCGGUGCAAGACCGGCUCGCGUCCGAUUGGGUAGUUGGAGGGGUAACGGCCCACCAAGCCUAUGAUCGGUAGCCGACCUGAGAGGGUGAUCGGCCACAUUGGAACUGAGAUACGGUCCAAACUCCUACGGGAGGCAGCAGUGGGGAAUAUUGGGCAAUGGGGGAAACCCUGACCCAGCAACGCCGCGUGAAGGAAGAAGGUUUUCGGAUUGUAAACUUCUGUCCUUGGUGAAGAGAAGAAGACGGUAGCCAAGGAGGAAGCCCCGGCUAACUACGUGCCAGCCGCCGCGGUAA
rnacentral:rRNA from 1 species